rnacentral:lncRNA from 1 species
CACUGGUCUAGCUGUCAGGAAAUUUUUGACAACCUACUGGAGAAAAUGCGUCCGUAAGAGAAUAAUUCUACAUAUGUUAUAAUACAAUGUGGUACGGAAUCUGACAGAGGUGCUCACCAAGUGAUUUGAGAGAAUAGAAGGGUCAAUUAGUUUGACUUCAGAAGAAUGAGCUUGUCUUGAAAGGUGGGAACAAGAACAAAAAUGGCUUUAGAAUCUGCAUUCCACUGACUUUUAAAGAUGAACAGAUUAAUCGUGCAAAGUCUAGAAUGUAUUCUGAAACAUUCAAAGGAAGUG